GACGAACGCUGGCGGCGUGCUUAACACAUGCAAGUCGAACGGAAAGGCCCUGCUUUUGUGGGGUGCUCGAGUGGCGAACGGGUGAGUAACACGUGAGUAACCUGCCCUUGACUUUGGGAUAACUUCAGGAAACUGGGGCUAAUACCGGAUAGGAGCUCCUGCUGCAUGGUGGGGGUUGGAAAGUUUCGGCGGUUGGGGAUGGACUCGCGGCUUAUCAGCUUGUUGGUGGGGUAGUGGCUUACCAAGGCUUUGACGGGUAGCCGGCAUGAGAGGGUGACCGGCCAAAUUGGGACUGAGAUACGGCCCAGACUCCUACGGGAGGCAGCAGUGGGGAAUAUUGCACAAUGGGCGGAAGCCUGAUGCAGAAACGCCGCGUGCGGGAUGACGGCCUUCGGGUUGUAAACCGAUUUCGCCUGUGACGAAGAGUGAGUGACGGUAAUGGGUAAAGAAGCACCGGCUAACUACGUG
rnacentral:rRNA from 1 species